rnacentral:rRNA from 1 species
GACGAACGCUGGCGGCGUGCCUAAUACAUGCAAGUAGAACGCACAGUUUAUAUCGUAGCUUGAUACACAAUAGACUGUGAGUUGCGAACGGGUGAGUAACGCGUAGGUAACCUGCCUGGUAGCGGGGGAUAACUAUUGGAAACGAUAGCUAAUACCGCAUAAUAUUGAUUAUUGCAUGUUAAUUAAUUGAAAGGCGCAAUUGCACCACUACCAGAUGGACCUGCGUUGUAUUAGCUAGUAGGUGAGGUAACGGCUCACCUAGGCGAAGAUACAUAGCCGACCUGAGAGGGUGAUCGGCCACACUGGGACUGAGACACGGCCCAGACUCCUACGGGAGGCAGCAGUAGGGAAUCUUCGGCAAUGGACGAAAGUCUGACCGAGCAACGCCGCGUGAGUGAAGAAGGUUUUCGGAUCGUAAAGCUCUGUUGUAAGAGAAGAACGGGUGUGAGAGUGGAAAGUUCACACUGUGACGGUAUCUUACCAGAAAGGGACGGCUAACUACGUG